rnacentral:lncRNA from 1 species
AGUAGUAGGAUCUGCACGAAAAACGCAAGGGGGUUUGUCAUGAUGUUGACAGAUGGCCAGCUGACAUGCCCACUGAAGUGUUGAUGGCUCGCUGGUCUUCUUAUGCAGGCCUUUCAUUCUUUA